rnacentral:lncRNA from 1 species
GGAGCGACCACAGCAGUGAGAAGAGCUCGUCUCAGCGGCCGGAGCGAGAGAGGAGAGAAGGAGAGAGGACUGGGGAUAGAGGGAGCGACCACAGCAGUGAGAAGAGCUCGUCUCAGCGGCCGGAGCGAGAGAGGAGAGAAGGAGAGAGGACUGGAGAGAGAGGAAGCGACCACAGCAGUGAGAAGAGCUCGUCUCAGCGGCCGGAGCGAGAGAGGAGAGAAGGAGAGAGGACUGGAGAGAGAGGGAGCGACCACAGCAGUGAGAAGAGCUCGUCUCAGCGGCCGGAGCGAGAGAGGAGAGAAGGAGAGAGGACUGGAGAGAGAGGGAGCGACCACAGCAGUGAGAAGAGCUCGUCUUCCUCCUCACACUCUCACUCACGGGAUCGUAAACCUUUAUCUUCUUCCAGGGACCACAAAGCAACUUCUGACCGUAGACCACCGGACCCCAGAGCCAGGGAGCACAGAGACCACCUCCACCACAAACAUGAAGACAACAACGACCAGAUCUCAUCCACCGUUGGCCGUAACACCGACUCUACUGACCGUAGACCACCGGGAGACCACCGGGAGACCACCGGGGAGCUAGGCGGUGCCUCGCCCGUCUCCAAGAGCGACCAACCCCCAUCUGACCCUUCCUCUUCCUCCUCCUCCUCCACUCAGAGAUCUCAGGGAGGGUCUGAGCCCACCAGACCCAGCGAGAGCAGCCCUGGCAGGGACACGACGCAGGAUAUAUACGGCUCCAUGGAGAACCAGCCCGGGAGGGGAAAGGCUGAGGGAGAAGAGCCCAGAGCAGAGAGCUUCUCGGCGGGGAGACAGAGCCAGCAGGCCAGCCUAGGAACCCUAGAGAAGGAGACGAGUGGUGGAAAGCCCCAACAACACCCGGCCUCACUCCUACAGCCCCCAGGACUGACAACAGGGCAGGGGUGCCCCGAGCUGUCAGAGAGAGAGAGAGAAAGAAAGAGAGAGAGUGGCAGAUACAAAAGAUGAGGGAGAAGAUGGAGAAGGAGAGAGAGAAAGGGAAGAAGAAAGAUAAAAAAGAGAAGAAGAAAGAGAAGAAGAAACAGAAGAAAGACAGAAAGCAGAAGAGACUGGAGGCUGAGGAGGGAGAGAUCGCAGGACUGAAACACAAACACAAGAAGAAGAAGAACAAGGACAAUAACAGAGAGAGAGAAGAGGAGGAGGAGAGAAGAGGCGAAGACCAAAUGUCUAGCGUAGCCUUAUGAGACAUUUCGUCGUGAAGCGUUUUUUUCCACACGUUUCAGCCCAAGGCUCGUGGCCCAAACCUUAUUCCCUAACUAGUGCACGACUUUAAGGCUCGUGGCCCAAACCUAGUGCACUAAGAAGGGAAUUGGGCGCCAUUUCGGAGGAAAGAUAUUUGGUUUCCUUCCGAGCCUCCUGUCAGUGAACUGUAAAGGUCUCAAAGAGGCGUCACACAGCCUCUGCAUUCCAAAUACCAUCCUAUUCCCUAUAUAGGGCACUACUUUUGACGAGGGCCCAUAUUCCCUAUAAUAAUAGGGCACUAUGUAGGGAAUGUGGGUGUCAUUUGUGACGGGACCCCGUAGUGAAGACCAUAAGAGGACUCUGCAAGCUUGUUCACUUUAGUUCAACACUUUGUUUGGGGGGUUUUGUUAUUUUUUAUUUUUUUUGCUGAGGAUUUGAAUUAAUUUAAUGAAUUUAAGGCUGAUGUAUAAAAUAUUAAUUUUUUUUAGACUCUGCUCAACAUAGGCUGUUGCUUGGACGAGUCAAUUUACUUGAAUAAUGCUUUGAUUUUUAAUUAUUUUUUUUGUGUUUAAAAAAAAAAUGUGUAAUUGCUAAAACCUUGAUUUGUCCCUGUCCCCCACCGUCCUGUCCCCCACCCCAGGUUAUUUUUGAAGAGUUUCUACGACCUGGGAUGCAUCCCAAAUAGCAACCAGUUCCCGAUGUUGUGGACUAUAUACAAGAAUAGUGAACUAUUAUGGACACACACAAUAUACCAUCUUUCAUAUCAGAUAUGUAUUCUCUAGAGUGAAAACGUGUAGGAGGAGGAGGAGGGAAAAAAGCACUAUCGAGAUGUAAAUGACUGUUACUCUGCUGUAAGCAGACUGAGCAAGAGUGACCUAGAGGUAGUUGUUGGCCUAUGUUUUGCAAAAUUACUUCCCCCCCCCCCCCCCUAAAAUUCACCAGAUUUCCCAGAAAUCCCAGGUUGUAGGAUUCACAGAUUUCCUUCUUGAUUUCAGGAAUCUGUGAUUUUUUAUUUUUUUUUUUAUUUUUGUUGUUGUUGUAAAGUUACCAGAAUUGUUCAGCCCCUUAGUGGUAGUUGUGUCUUAUGAUACCUGAAUUAUAU